rnacentral:rRNA from 1 species
AUACGGAGGGUGCAAGCGUUGUCCGGAUUUAUUGGGUUUAAAGGGUGCGUAGGCGGCCCGUUAAGUCAGUGGUGAAAGGUAUCAGCUUAACUGAUGAAGUGCCAUUGAAACUGAAGGGCUUGAGUACAGACGAGGUAGGCGGAAUUUAUGGUGUAGCGGUGAAAUGCAUAGAUACCAUAAAGAACACCGAUAGCGAAGGCAGCUUACUAGAGUGAGACUGACGCUGAGGCACGAAAGCGUGGGGAGCGAACAGGAUUAGAUACCCCGGUAGUCC